UGCACAGGCCGAUCUCGAUUUUUGCAGAGAAUUUCCAGGACGUUCGCGACCUCGCCAAACCCAACUGAUCAAAGCUUUUGCAAGAGAUGCAAUGGAAGUAGCUGACCGCCUUUCACUGAAGUAUCCAAACAAUCCAAGUAUAUUUGCAUGGUGGAGAUGACUCUGAAUUUCAAUCUUCCUACGCAAUUGGUGCUCUGCCUGUGACUGCCGUGUUAGCACAACAUAACUUUCCGUCUCCGUGAUUUACGGCUGAGACUAUUGCUUAUGUUUAUGUUUAAGCUAACUAGGGAGUUCAUUCUUGUUUUUAACUCCUCCUUUUCUACCCAAUUUAUUUUAACAGUUCAUUCAAAUAGUUGUUUAUCUCUGAAAUUUCAUGCAUUUAUAUAUCAUUUAUAAUUCAUACAGAUUUGUAAUAAUGAAAAUAAUUGAAUUGCAUUAAUUCAAUUUUGAUUUUCUUCU